GAUGAACGCUGGCGGCGUGCUUAAUACAUGCAAGUCGAACGAGGAGCCUUUGUAGUAAUACGAGGGUUUCCUAGUGGCGAACGGGUGCGUAACGCGUUGGUGACCUGCCCCAAAGUGAGGGAUAACAGACCGAAAGGUUUGCUAAUACCCCAUGUGGUCAUGAGAAUUAGAACCUUGUGACUAAAGCAGUAAUGCGCUUUGGGAGGGGCCUGCGUCCCAUCAGCUAGUUGGUAAGGUAAUGGCUUACCAAGGCGAUGACGGGUAGGGGACCUGAGAGGGUGGUCCCCCACACUGGCACUGAAAUACGGGCCAGACACCUACGGGUGGCUG
rnacentral:rRNA from 1 species